rnacentral:misc_RNA from 1 species
UUGAAUUUUGAAGAGGGGUUGUAGCUGAUCUUUUAGAUAUGUGCACACCUCUUUAUCUACACACCCAUGUGCACCUUUUGUAGGCUUUUUGCCUAUGUUUUAUACACACACAUUUUGUACAAGAAUGUUAUUGAUGAAAUUUAAUA